rnacentral:tRNA from 1 species
UCCUCCGUGGCGCAAUUGGCUAGCGCGUCUGACUGUUAGGUCCAAGGACUGAGCGAUCAGGAGGUUCGUGGUUCGAGCCCACGCGGGGGAG